AAGGCACCGCGCGCGAUAUGUUCUCGUUUUGUCAUCGUCUCGCACAACCGCGGCAGCGCACACUGAUCGCAGCGUGGUGGCUCCUCUUUCUGUCGUGUUUGCGUCUCAAUUUUUUCGCCGGUUUCCUCAAGUGUCGGCAGGAGGACCGCCACGGCAACACACUGCGACCGACGGGUUUCGCCGACAGGUAGUCGGCGAUAUCGCGAGGGUGAUGACCUUGGUGCGGGCGCGGAGCGUCAACGGAGAACCCUCGUUGUCCCACUUCGCUGUAUGGGCACAGGCGCUCGACGUAGCCCGCUUCUCCGCAGUGAUAGCAGAGCGGACGGUGGUCCGGAGCUUGCCAAACGUCGGGCUUCGUUGGAAUGCUCCACUGGGUGAGGGUCGGGAAUGCUGACAGCGGCGGCGGUGGACGAUGGAAUUGCCGCGCGCCUGGCCCUGGCGCGGGCGUGGAAGGGGACCAUGGCGGCGGGCGACGGCAUCGGCUGGGGUCAAACUCGCAGUGCUGCUUCUAUUCGAACGUCGAGUCAUCCGUCUCUCGCAGCUCUGAAUGGUGUACUUGCCUGACAAAGUGACAGGUUCCUGUACCACUGGAUGCACUGCACACCACACUGCUGUCAAGAUGAAGCCUAAUUGUAAGCCUGGUUGUAAGAUGACUUUGGCAUUUACACCUGUUGGAGACCGCUCCUUGCAGUGCAAGUCACUCUUUUGGUCGAGCAGCUGUGCAACAGCGAUAAGCCAUCGUUUUAUGCACUGGGAACUCUACUGCAAGUUUACCGAUGGCAAAUGCUUCAAAUUCGAAGCGCUAGAAGACAAGGACGACCUUAAGCCUUCAAUGACACCUGCUGUAAGUCCUCCGCCUGACCAGGUUUUUCUAGGAGACUUCGAACGCAGUUUCAUGGAUGUCUGCAAUGCAUAUUAUGCCAUGAGUGAAAUCAAACACUACCAUGUUGUCGAAAAUAACUGCCAGACGUGGCUUGUGGCUUUUCUAGAAAAGCUUCAGCUUCCGCUUCCCGAUAAAGUAAGGACUAUUGCCAAGACGAUUGAGAAGAUCUUCUCCAGGCAUGGAAAAGGCAAAGCGUACCACUUUGUUGUCAAAACAGUUCGAGAUGCUUAUAAACUUUUAUUAAAGUCCCGUGACACAACUGCUCCUAAAGAGAAGGAAAAGAACAACAACAUUGAGGACGACAACGAAAAAAAUGAGAACCGAAUUUCCCAACCAGGAUUCUGAACAACUCCAUUGUGCUGUGUUUCCAAUCAACGAUUACCAGCGCACAGUGUGGUUUGUGUGUAGAAUAUUGAUAAAGGCUACCACGGCCUGAAUUGCUUAAUUACCAAUUUCACUCAACAUGCAACUGUGCCCGAUUUUUCUACAACCACUUCCACGCUCAAGUUUCUGCCCGAGAUGCGCUGUCGCCUAAUUUAGGGACGUAUAAAUAUUACAGAUAGACAGAUCUACAAAAUUUUUAAUGAGAGCAUGUAGCGACCGAUAGUAGUAAAGUAUACCCCCUUGUU